rnacentral:rRNA from 1 species
AGUGAACGCUGGCGGUAGGCCUAACACAUGCAAGUCGAACGGCAGCACAGUAAGAGCUUGCUCUUACGGGUGGCGAGUGGCGGACGAGUGAGGAAUACAUCGGAAUCUACUUUUUCGUGGGGGAUAACGUAGGGAAACUUACGCUAAUACCGCAUACGACCUACGGGUGAAAGCAGGGGAUCUUCGGACCUUGCGCGAUUGAAUGAGCCGAUGUCGGAUUAGCUAGUUGGCGGGGUAAAGGCCCACCAAGGCGACGAUCCGUAGCUGGACUGAGAGGAUGAUCAGGCACACUGGAACUGAGACACGGUCCAGACGCAUACGGGAGGCAGCAGUAGGGAAGCUUCCACAAUGGGCGAAAGCCUGACGGAGCAAUGCCGCGUGAGGGAUGAAGGUCUUCGGAUCGUAAAACUCUGUUAGUAGGGAAGAAAAAAUGUGGAAGUAACCACGCACGUCUGGACGGUACCUAAGCAGAAAGACACGGCUAACUACGUG